GACGAACGCUGGCGGCGUGCUUAACACAUGCAAGUCGAACGGAAAGGCCCUGCUUUUGUGGGGUGCUCGAGUGGAGAACGGGUGAGUAACACGUGAGUAACCUGCACUUGACUUUGGGAUAACUUCAGGAAACUGGGGAUAAUACCGGACAGGAGCUCCUGCUGCAUGGUGGGGGUUGGAAAGUUUCGGCGGUUGGGGAUGGACUCGCGGCUUAUCAGCUUGUUGGUGGGGUAGUGGCUUACCAAGGCUUUGACGGGUAGCCGGGCUGAGAGGGUGACCGGCCACACUGGGAUUGGAAUGCGGCCCAGACUCCUCCGGGAGGCAGCAGUGCGGUAUAUUGCACUAUGGGCGGAAGGCUAGUGCAACGACGCCGCGUCGGGUGUGCCGACCAUCAGUUUGUAAUCCGCAUUCGCCUGAGACGAAGCGUGAAUGACGGUAAUGGGUUAAGAAGCACCGGCUAACUACGUG
rnacentral:rRNA from 1 species